rnacentral:misc_RNA from 1 species
GGAAGUAAAAGUCAUAACAAGGUUUCCGUAGGUGAACCUGCGGAAGGAUCAUUAAUGAGUUGUCAUGGGGUUCGAUGCUGGCAGCCAGUUUUUGGAUGCAUGUGCUUGCCCUAACAAUCAUCUUCUUCCAAACACCUGUGCACAUUUUUGAGGGAGUCUUGAGUUGGUUGCCGCUCUUGGGUGAUUUUCUCACAUUCCCUUAAAUCAUUAUACGCUAUUAACAAUGUUGAACGUGCUCUGUGCCGCAAGGCCAUUAAUAUAAUACAACUUUUAACAACGGAUCUCUUGGCUCUC